rnacentral:rRNA from 1 species
GACCCCUUAUUCUUCUACCCAUUCAAGAGAGACCUCAAAAAUAAUGUCAUGCACAUAUUCUGGGCAGAUGGGACAUGCAGAAAGAACUAUGAUCUAUAUGGAGAUGUGCUUAGCUUUGACACAUCCUACAAAACAUACAAAUAUGACCUCAGAUUUGCACCGAUUGUAGGAAUUAAUGGACAUGGAGAUAAUUGCUUGUUUGCAUGCGGAUUUAUUCAGGAUGAAAAGAGGGAAACAUUUGAAUGGUUGUUCAACACUUCCCUAAAGUGCAUGGGUGGUAAAGCUCCAAAAUCAGUUAUAACAGAUCAAGAUGUUGCCAUGAAAACAGCAGUUCUAAAAUACUUCCCAAAUUGCAAUCAUAGGAACUGCUUGUUCCACAUCUUGACAAAAGCACAGAACAAAGCAAGGAGGACUUUUGCAAGGAAUGAACAUUUGUCUGCACAAUUCCAAGACAUCAUAACAAAGCAAGGAGGACUUUUGCAAGGAAUGAACAUUUGUUGCACAAUUCUAAGACAUAGUCCUAAAUUCAAAAACCAUAGAGGAAUUUGA